GACGUAGGGCGCGAGCGUUGUCCGGAAUUAUUGGGCGUAAAGAGCUUGUAGGCGGUUUGUCGCGUCUGCUGUGAAAUCUCAAGGCUCAACCUUGAGCUUGCAGUGGGUACGGGCAGACUAGAGUGUGGUAGGGGAGACUGGAAUUCCUGGUGUAGCGGUGAAAUGCGCAGAUAUCAGGAGGAACACCGAUGGCGAAGGCAGGUCUCUGGGCCACUACUGACGCUGAGAAGCGAAAGCAUGGGGAGCGAACAGG
rnacentral:rRNA from 1 species